GACGAACGCUGGCGGCGUGCCUAAUACAUGCAAGUCGACCUUAGUGGCGAACGGGUGAGUAACACGUGGGUAACCUUCCCAUCAGAAGGGGAUAACACUUGGAAACAGGUGCUAAUCCCGUAAACUGAUGGAUGGACCCGCGGUGCAUUAGCUAGGUGGUGAGGGAACGGCUCACCAAGGCCACGAUGCAUCUCCGACCUUAGAGGGGGCGCGGCCACAUUGGGACAGAGACACGGCCCAAACUCCUACGAGAGGCAGCAGUAGGGAAUCUUCGGCAAUGGACGAAAGUCUGACCGCGCAACGCCGCGUGAGUGAAGAAGGUUUUCGGAUCGUAAAACUCUUUUGUUAGAGAAGCGGUAUCUAACCAGAAAGCCACGGCUAACUACGUGCCAGCAGCCGCGGUAAUAC
rnacentral:rRNA from 1 species